rnacentral:tRNA from 1 species
GGCGAGUUGGUGAAGCGGCUUAACACACUGCCCUCUCAAGGCAGCAUUCACGGGUCCGAAUCCCGUACUCGUCA